UACGUAGGGGGGCGAGCGUUAUCCGGAUUUACUGGGCGUAAAGCGCGUUAAGGCGGUUGGCAAAGUUGGUUGUGAAAUCUCAGGGCUCAACCCUGAAAUUGCGACCAAUACGUGUCGACUAGAGUGCAAGAGAGGAAGGUGGAAUUCCCGGUGUAGUAGUGAAAUGCGUAGAUAUCGGGAGGAACACCAGUGGCGAAGGCGGCCGACUGGACCACACCUGACGCUGAGGCGCGAAGGCCAGGGGAGCGAACGGG
rnacentral:rRNA from 1 species